CGGGUUGUAGCUCAGUGGUUGAGCACUUGCCGCAAAUGUGUGAGGCACUGGGUUCGAUUCUCAGCACCACGU
rfam:Ictidomys tridecemlineatus contig063659, whole genome shotgun sequence.